rnacentral:rRNA from 1 species
GACGAACGCUGGCGGCGUGCUUAACACAUGCAAGUCGAACGAAGAGCGAUGGAAGCUUGCUUCUAUCAAUCUUAGUGGCGAACGGGUGAGUAACGCGUAAUCAACCUGCCCUUCAGAGGGGGACAACAGUUGGAAACGACUGCUAAUACCGCAUACGAUCUAACCUCGGCAUCGAGGAUAGAUGAAAGGUGGCCUCUACAUGUAAGCUAUCACUGAAGGAGGGGAUUGCGUCUGAUUAGCUAGCUGGAGGGGUAACGGCCCACCAAGGCGAUGAUCAGUAGCCGGUCUGAGAGGAUGGACGGCCCCAUUGGGACUGGGACACGGCCCAGACUCCUACGGGAGGCAGCAGUGGGGAAUCUUCCGCAAUGGACGAAAGUCUGACGGAGCAACGCCGCGUGAGUGAUGACGGCCUUCGGGUUGUAAAGCUCUGUUAAUCGGGACGAAAGGCCUUCUUGCGAAUAGUUAGAAGGAUUGACGGUACCGGAAUAGAAAGCCACGGCUAACUACGUG